rnacentral:tRNA from 1 species
GCCUGGGUGGCUCAGUGGUUGAGUGUCUGUCUUCAGCUCAGGUCAUGAUCCCAGAAUCAAGUCCUGGAUCAGGCU